AGUGAACGCUGGCGGUAGGCCUAACACAUGCAAGUCGAACGGCAGCACAGUAAGAGCUUGCUCUUACGGGUGUCGAGUGGCGGACGGGUGAGGAAUACAUCGGAAUCUACUUUUUCGUGGGGGAUAACGUAGGGAAACUUACGCUAAUACCGCAUACGACCUACGGGUGAAAGCAGGGGAUCUUCGGACCUUGCGCGAUUGUAUGAGCCGAUGUCGGAUUAGCUAGUUGGCGGGGUAAAGGCCCACCAAGGCGACGAUCCGUAGCUGGUCUGAGAGGAUGGUCAACGAAACUGAAACUGAGAAACGGUCCACAAUCAUACGAAAGGCAGCAGUGAGGAAUAUUGGACAAUGGGCGCAAGCCUGAUCCAAACAUACCGCGUGGAUGAAGAAGGCGUUCGGGUUGUAAAACACUAUUGUUGGGAAAGAAAAGCAGCAGGUUAAUAACCCGCUGUUAUGAAGGUACCCAAAGAAUAAGCACCGGCUAACUUCGUG
rnacentral:rRNA from 1 species